CAGCCGCCGCGGUAACACGAAGGGGGCUAGCGUUGUUCGGAAUCACUGGGCGUAAAGAGCACGUAGGCGGAUCUUUAAGUCAGAGGUGAAAUCCCGAGGCUCAACCUCGGAACUGCCUUUGAUACUGGGGAUCUCGAGUCCGGGAGAGGUGAGUGGAACUGCGAGUGUAGAGGUGAAAUUCGUAGAUAUUCGCAAGAACACCAGUGGCGAAGGCGGCUCACUGGCCCGGAACUGACGCUGAGGUGCGAAAGCGUGGAGAGCGAACAGGAUUAGAUACCCGCGUAGUCCCUGUCUCUUAUAC
rnacentral:rRNA from 1 species